UGGGGGCUUACAAUGCAAGUCGAGCGGGGUAUGGUAGCUUGCUACCUGACCUAGCGGCGGACGGGUGAGUAAUGCUUAGGAAUCUGCCUAUUAGUGGGGGACAACAUUCCGAAAGGAAUGCUAAUACCGCAUACGCCCUACGGGGGAAAGCAGGGGAUCUUCGGACCUUGCGCUAAUAGAUGAGCCUAAGUCAGAUUAGCUAGUUGGUGGGGUAAAGGCCUACCAAGGCGACGAUCUGUAGCGGGUCUGAGAGGAUGAUCCGCCACACUGGGACUGAGACACGGCCCAGACUCCUACGGGAGGCAGCAGUGGGGAAUAUUGGACAAUGGGCGAAAGCCUGAUCCAGCCAUGCCGCGUGUGUGAAGAAGGCCUUUUGGUUGUAAAGCACUUUAAGCGAGGAGGAGGCUACUUGGAUUAAUACUCUAGGAUAGUGGACGUUACUCGCAGAAUAAGCACCGGCUAACUCUGUGCCAGCAGCCGCGGUAAUACAGAGGGUGCGAGCGUUAAUCGGAUUUACUGGGCGUAAAGCGUGCGUAGGCGGCUUUUUAAGUCGGAUGUGAAAUCCCUGAGCUUAACUUAGGAAUUGCAUUCGAUACUGGGAAGCUAGAGUAUGGGAGAGGAUGGUAGAAUUCCAGGUGUAGCGGUGAAAUGCGUAGAGAUCUGGAGGAAUACCGAUGGCGAAGGCAGCCAUCUGGCCUAAUACUGACGCUGAGGUACGAAAGCAUGGGGAGCAAACAGGAUUAGAUACCCUGGUAGUCCAUGCCGUAACGAUGUCUACUAGCCGUUGGGGCCUUUGAGGCUUUAGUGGCGCAGCUAACGCGAUAAGUAGACCGCCUGGGGAGUACGGUCGCUAGACUAAAACUCAAAUGAAUUGACGGGGGCCCGCACAAGCGGUGGAGCAUGUGGUUUAAUUCGAUGCAACGCGAAGAACCUUACCUGGUCUUGACAUAGUAAGAACUUUCCAGAGAUGGAUUGGUGCCUUCGGGAACUUACAUACAGGUGUUUCGAGGCCCCCUUGACUCGUGUCGUGAGAUGUUGGGUUAAGUCCCGCAACGAGCGCAACCCUUUUCCUUAUUUGCCAGCGGGUUAAGCCGGGAACUUUAAGGAUACUGCCAGUGACAAACUGGAGGAAGGCGGGGACGACGUCAAGUCAUCAUGGCCCUUACGACCAGGGCUACACACGUGCUACAAUGGUCGGUACAAAGGGUUGCUACCUAGCGAUAGGAUGCUAAUCUCAAAAAGCCGAUCGUAGUCCGGAUUGGAGUCUGCAACUCGACUCCAUGAAGUCGGAAUCGCUAGUAAUCGCGGAUCAGAAUGCCGCGGUGAAUACGUUCCCGGGCCUUGUACACACCGCCCGUCACACCAUGGGAAUUUGUUGCACCAGAAGUAGGUAGUCUAACCGCAAGGAGGACGCUUACCAUC
rnacentral:rRNA from 1 species